CUACGGGUGGCAGCAGUGGGGAAUAUUGGACAAUGGGGGAAACCCUGAUCCAGCAAUGCCGCGUGUGUGAAGAAGGCCUGCGGGUUGUAAAGCACUUUCGGUUGGGAGGACUGCUUCUAGCACUAAUAUUGUUGGAAGUUGACGUUACCUUCAGAAGAAGCACCGGCUAACUCCGUGCCAGCAGCCGCGGUAAUACGGAGGGUGCAAGCGGUAAUCGGAAUUACUGGGCGUAAAGCGCGCGUAGGCGGCUAGAUCAGUCGGGUGUGAAAGCCCCGGGCUUAACCUGGGAACUGCAUCCAAUACUGUCUAACUUGAGUACAGGAGAGGAGAGUGGAAUUCCACAUGUAGCGGUGAAAUGCGUAGAUAUGUGGAGGAACACCAAUGGCGAAGGCAGCUCUCUGGCCUGAUACUGACGCUGAGGUGCGAAAGCGUGGGGAGCAAACAGGAUUAGAUACCCUCGUAGUC
rnacentral:rRNA from 1 species